UUAAGUUCCUUAAAUUCAAAGAAUUUGGCGGUAGUUAAGUCUUUUUAGAGGAACCUGUUCUGUAAUUGAUAGUCCACGAUUUAUUUUACUUUAAUUUUAUUUGUAUACCUCUGUUAAUGAAUGUAUUAUAAGGUUAAUUUUCUUUAUUUUGGGAGAAUAAAUAGUAGGUCAAGGUGCAGUUUUUUUAAAGUAGAAAUGGGUUACAAUAAUUUUUUUUGGAUAAUUUUUUGGAAUGUGAAUUUGAAAUUGGAUUUAAUAGUAAUGUUUUUAAAAUAAAAAUAAUGAUUAUAGCUCUUAAUUAU
rnacentral:rRNA from 1 species